UGUACUGAUGUGACAAAGGGGAGGAAGGAGAUCGGGAUUACCUUUUACACCAGGCCCAGCUUGAGGACACCAGAAAAAUAAUCACCACCAUGCAGCAGACUGUGACAUACAGUACACUCCAAUCUAGAGAAGAAUCAGGCCAAAAACUUGCUCUCAUCAUCAAGAAAGUGUCUAAAGGGGUUCUCCAUCCACAGAGGAUCACAGGAGCAACUUCGAGUGACAGGGUCACACCGACCAUGACCAGAACAGAGCAGCAAACACACUGCACAGAUUUGCCACAGUACAUGACAUUGAAAAAAAGGUUAACUGUGUGUGUGGAUAUGAUUCGAUCGGGAUUAGAAGGUGGUAUACUUGGUUAAUAGACAGGAGGAAAUGUGUUGCUCUGUGCUACUCACUGACUGUGUCCACUCUGAGGACUUUGAAGAGCAGAUAAUCUGUUUUCUCCUUCAGAAGCUGAUACCUCAGGAGACGAGCCAGUUUUGGGCCAGGGAUCGCCCCAUCAGAACCCUGCACUGAGAACCUAAAAACGGUGCUGUGUACACACACACACACACACACACACGCUUUCAAACUACUAAGUGAAAGAUGCUUAUGUUUGUGUACUGUGCAAUCAAAUUUACUAAGCACUUGUUGCUGGAAUUGUUCACUGUACUUUCCAACCCAAAGUGUUCUGGUCAUGGUCAUGAUCUAUAUGAUGCAAUGUUGACUUUGUAGUUGAUGGCAAGUGUAUUUAUACAGUAGUGUAUCUUUCGAGUCAUUUUUGAGUCAGGGAAAUGCUGAAAUUUCUGACAGGUUUGACUCGUUUCCAUAUUUUCCAGGUGCCAAGCAACAGCGUUCUAACACUCAGUGCGUUUACAUGCACAUAGAGAAAAUCGAAUUUCUGCCGUAGCUCGACUGAAAUCGAAGUUCUAAAUGCCAUGGAAACACCUUAGCUCGGCUGAAAUCGAACCGAACUGGAUUUCUCGUAAUCGAGCUACGCGACCUAGAUUAUGCGAUUGUAGCCGAGCUACUUGGUGCAUGUAUACCCUAUCGAGCUACUUACUUCAGCACUGCCCCUUCCGCGAGUGACGAGACCACAAGCGGGAAACACAACAGCCUCGGUCGGCAUGACAACAGUAGUAGAAACGUGCACUUCUGGAGCAAUGAGGAGAUAGAGUUCAUGCUCAUUCAGCUUAAGGAGUUGAAUAUAUAUAUCGAUGUUGCUGUCCUUGUCGUCGUUCUUCUUGUGAACACAGAACUGAUAACUUUGUUUAUACUCUUGAAUAGCUCUUCUUCAUGACGACAACCGGAAGUGUACCAACACGAUGGGGCGUGUAGCGCCACCUGUGGCUCGGGUGCACAAUGUACCUCACACAAUAGCUCGAUUUCCUUGUGUGCAUGUAGGAUUGGAUUUCUCUGGCACCCCUGCUGGGACCCUUAGCUCGAUUACCGACAGCAGCUCGAUUUGGAUGUGCAUGUAAACGCACUGACUGAAAUGGCAAGCACGUUAUAUGAUCACCCUCUCGUGCUGAAAACACGUUUCACUAAACAGACCACUAUACUCUGUACAUAUUGGACUGAAGACGAGCACAUAAAACAGGCCUCGUUGUUGGCUCGUUGUACCUGAUGUCAGACUGGCCGUGAAGGCCCUUCAUAGCGAUAUCUGCAUCCAGUACAUGGAGCAGUGCAGCCAGCUGCCUCACCACUGACUCCUUCUGCUGCUGACUGACCUGAGCUAAGGGGACCUGCAGCUCCAGCUCCACCUCCUCCCGCUCACACAUGCAUAUCAAAAUGACCCUACCAGGACGGACUUCCACUGUGGCCAUUGCAGUGCUGGAGUGACCCUGACCAUCACUGACUCGCAGCUGGAACAGCUGGACUCUGCUCGUCUCUGAGCCACAGGAAGGACACGUUUGUGGAACCACAGUUAGACACAGAGCCUCUCAGCACCAGAGUGUUAUUGGGUAAGACCAGUCAAGUAGUCUUUGACUCUUCUCCUGUUCCAUCUUUGAAGCAGUCCUCUCUUCGCUGAUGUCAUCCUCCACAGUCCUGUAACUCUCAUCAUACUCCAUUGCAUUGGUGUUGUCCAAAUCUUGAAUGUCCUCCAGUAAAGCCAGGUCCUUCAGAGGGUUUUCUGGGCCCCUGUGUCUGGGCAAUGGACGCCACUGGCUGGCAUAAGGCUCACCACGUACCAGGGACUGCAGGACCAGGGUCUGUGGACGCCUGCGCUGUAGGAAGGCCAACCGUGAAUCUGUCCCUGGUCUCUUUUUGGGCUGGCAGUUUUCUUUUUGUUGGCAGCUGAGGAUGUAGCAGUGUCUCUCAAAGAACCAGGCCAGGUCACAGCCUGGAAGAUCACAGCAGGCACCUACACACUGGGCCAGCGUCAACACCUCAGGAACCCUCAGGAUGCUGCUGCUCCUCAACUCAGGAGACACUACCAUCUCAGAAUACGUCGGCCCCUGCCAGCACUGCCCUGCUAACACAUCUACAGCACAAAAAAUGGGCAUUUACAAGAGUUACUUUACAAGUUGCUGUAUAGCCUUAGUCCUGCACUAAACAACAUUUAAGCAUCUAACUUUUCAGUGUUUAGCAACUAAAUCUUGCCAUAUUUCAUAAACUUACUACUAGCAACUUGGACAGAAAGAAAAAAAACAGUUGGAAACAGAGGAAAAUGAGAAACAUCAUCCAUCACACAGAAAUAUAAAUGUAAAGGCAUUGCUAACUGAUGGUGAGUGGUGAUUAUGUAAGACUUACCCAGGUGACUCAUAACUCUUACCAGAUGGUUGCAUCAAUUUAACAAACUGUCAUGAAUUAUUGAAAUCACAUUUAACCGCACAUUUCCCAACAAAAGAAUCCCUAAAUGCAACCCCAUUUCAUUUUAAAAGAUCAGUUAUGUGGAGUAAACCACCAAAAGAGUAAUGAAAUGAGAAAUACUAAUAUGAAAUCAACGGGCGUGUUCUCAAUCUAAAUGCAGGGAUGAGGAUGAAAAAUAUUUAAAAAGUCUGAAAAAAGCCGGGGGUUUGGGGGCC